rnacentral:rRNA from 1 species
AACGAACGCUGGCGGUGUGGAUUAGGCAUGCAAGUCGAACGAGAAAGAUUCCUUCGGGGAUCGAGUACAGUGGCAAACGGGUGAGUAACGCGUGGGGAACCUACCUUUUAGUUGGGGACAACACUUCUAACGAGGUGCUAAUACCGAAUGAGAUCUUUCCAUCGCAUGGUGGAUUGAUGAAAGGCGGCCUCUGAUUUAAGCCGUCGCUGAAAGAUGGCCCCGCGUCCCAUUAGUUUGUUGGUGAGGUAACGGCUCACCAAGGCGACGAUGGGUAGCCGGCCUUAGCGGGUGACCGGCCACACUGGGACUGAGAUACGGCCCAGACUCCUACGGGAGGCAGCAGUCGAGAGGCUUCCACAAUGGGGGAAACCCUGAUGGAGCGACACCGCGUGGGUGAUGAAGGUUCUCGGAUCGUAAAACCCUUUCGGUAAGGAAGAAGUUGUUGAGGGUUAAUAUCCCUCGACAGAAGACGGUACUAC